rnacentral:tRNA from 1 species
CCUGGUGACUUAGUGGUAAAGAAUCUGCCUGAAAUGCAGGAGAUGCAGGUUCAAUCCCUGGGUCAGGA